AGAGUUUGAUCCUGGCUCAGGAUGAACGCUGGCGGCGUGCUUAACACAUGCAAGUCGAACGAGCCUUCGGGCUAGUGGCGGACGGGUGAGUGACGCGUGAGAAUCUGCCCUCAGGAGGGGGAUAACGGCUGGAAACGGCCGCUAAUACCCCAUAUGCCGCGAGGUGAAAUGAGAAAUCGCCUGAGGAUGAGCUCGCGUCUGAUUAGCUAGUUGGUGGGGUAAGAGCCUACCAAGGCAUCGAUCAGUAGCUGGUCUGAGAGGAUGAUCAGCCACACUGGGACUGAGACACGGCCCAGACUCCUACGGGAGGCAGCAGUGGGGAAUUUUCCGCAAUGGGCGCAAGCCUGACGGAGCAACGCCGCGUGAGGGAUGAAGGCCUCUGGGCUGUAAACCUCUUUUCUCAAGGAAGAAGAACUGACGGUACUUGAGGAAUAAGCCACGGCUAAUUCCGUGCCAGCAGCCGCGGUAAUACGGGAGUGGCAAGCGUUAUCCGGAAUUAUUGGGCGUAAAGCGUCCGCAGGCGGUCUUGAAAGUCUGUUGUUAAAGCGUGGAGCUCAACUCCAUUUCAGCAAUGGAAACUAGAAGACUAGAGUGUGGUAGGGGCAGAGGGAAUUCCCGGUGUAGCGGUGAAAUGCGUAGAUAUCGGGAAGAACACCAGUGGCGAAGGCGCUCUGCUGGGCCAUAACUGACGCUCAUGGACGAAAGCCAGGGGAGCGAAAGGGAUUAGAUACCCCUGUAGUCCUGGCCGUAAACGAUGAACACUAGGUGUCGGGGGAAUCGACCCCCUCGGUGUCGUAGCCAACGCGUUAAGUGUUCCGCCUGGGGAGUACGCACGCAAGUGUGAAACUCAAAGGAAUUGACGGGGGCCCGCACAAGCGGUGGAGUAUGUGGUUUAAUUCGAUGCAACGCGAAGAACCUUACCAGGGUUUGACAUCCUGCGAAUCUUUUGGAAACAGAAGAGUGCCUUCGGGAGCGCAGAGACAGGUGGUGCAUGGCUGUCGUCAGCUCGUGUCGUGAGAUGUUGGGUUAAGUCCCGCAACGAGCGCAACCCACGUCUUUAGUUGCCAGCAUUAAGUUGGGCACUCAAGAGAGACCGCCGGUGAUAAACCGGAGGAAGGUGUGGAUGACGUCAAGUCAUCAUGCCCCUUACAUCCUGGGCUACACACGUACUACAAUGCUACGGACAGAGGGCAGCAAACUCGCGAGAGCUAGCAAAUCCCAUAAACCGUGGCUCAGUUCAGAUCGUAGGCUGCAACUCGCCUACGUGAAGGAGGAAUCGCUAGUAAUCGCAGGUCAGCAUACUGCGGUGAAUACGUUCCCGGGCCUUGUACACACCGCCCGUCACACCAUGGAAGUUGGCCAUGCCCGAAGUCGUUACUCCAACCCUUGUGGAGGAGGACGCCGAAGGUGGGGCUGAUGACUGGGGUGAAGUCGAACAAGGUA
rnacentral:rRNA from 1 species